rnacentral:rRNA from 1 species
GACGUAGGUGGCGAACGUUAUCCGGAAUCAUUGGGCGUAAAGGGUGCGUAGGUGGCAUGAUAAGUUAUUAGUGGGAAAUCGAGGCUCAACCUCGUGGAAGCUGGUAAUACUGUCAGGCUCGAGUGCAGGAGAGGUUAACGGAACUCCAUGUGGAGCGGUAAAAUGUGUAGAUAUAUGGAAGAACACCAAUAACGGCGAAGGCAGUUAACUAUUCUGUUACUGACAUUGAGGCACGAAAGCGUGGGGAGCAAAACGG